AACGAACGCUGGCGGCAGGCUUAACACAUGCAAGUCGAACGCGUGCAGCAAUGCACGAGUGGCGCACGGGUGAGUAACGCGUGGAUAUCUGCCUUCUGGUUCGAAUAACCCCGGGAAACUGGGGCUAAUACCGAAUGGUUCCUACGGGAUAAAGAUUUAUCGCCAGAAGAUGAGUCCGCGUCCGAUUAGCUAGUUGGUGAGGUAACGGCUCACCAAGGCGACGANCGGUAGCUGGUCUGAGAGGACGAUCAGCCACACUGGGACUGAGACACGGCCCAGACUCCUACGGGAGGCAGCAGUGGGGAAUAUU
rnacentral:rRNA from 1 species